rnacentral:rRNA from 1 species
AUUGAACGCUGGCGGCAGGCCUAACACAUGCAAGUCGAACGAGUGGCGGACGGGUGAGUAAGGUCUGGGAAACUGCCUGAUGGAGGGGGAUAACUACUGGAAACGGUAGCUAAUACCGCAUACCAUCAGAUGUGCCAAGAUGGGAUUAGCUAGUUGGUGGGGUAACGGCUCACCAAGGCGACGAGCCCUAGCUGGUCGGAGAGGAGGACCCGCCACUCUGGAACUGAGACACGGUCCAUACUCCUACGGGAGGCAGCAGUUUGGAAUAUUCCUCAAUGGGCGCAAGCCUGAUGCAGCCAUGCCGCGUGUAUGAAGAAGUCCUUCGGGUUGUAAAGUACUUUCAGCGGGGAUGCGUUACCCGCAGAAGAAGCACCGGCUAACUCCGUGCCAGCAGCCGCGGUAAUUC